rnacentral:rRNA from 1 species
AUUGAACGCUGGCGGCAUGCUUUACACAUGCAAGUCGAACGGUAACAGGCCGCAAGGUGCUGACGAGUGGCGCACGGGUGCGUAAUGCAUCGGAACGUGCCCAGUCGUGGGGGAUAACUACUCGAAAGAGUAGCUAAUACCGCAUACGAACUAUGUAUGAAAGCGGGGGACCGUAAGGCCUCGCGCGAUUGGAGCGGCCGAUGUCAGAUUAGGUAGAUGUUGGGGUAAAGGCUCACCAAGCCAAAGAUCUGUAGCUGGUCUGAGAGGACGACCAGCCACACUAGAACUGAGACACGGCCCAGACUCCUACGGGAGGCAGCGGUGGGGAAUUUUGGACAAUGGGCGGAAGCCUGAUCCAGCAAUGCCGCGUGCAGGAAGAAGGCCUUCGGGUUGGAAACUGCUUUUGUACGGAACGAAACGGCUCUGGUUAAUACCCGGGGCUAAUGACGGUACCGUAAGAAUAAGCACCGGCUAACUACGUG